rnacentral:rRNA from 1 species
AGGCGCGAAAACUCCGCAAUGCGCGAAAGCGUGACGGGGUCACCCCGAGUGCCACCUGCAGAAGGUGGCUUUUCCUCGGUAUAAUCAGCCGGGGGAAUAAGGGGAGGGCAAGCCUGGUGUCAGCCGCCGCGGUAAUACCAGCUCCCCGAGUGGUGAGGACGAUUAUUGGGCCUAAAGCAUCCGUAGCCGGUCUAGUAAGUUUCUCGUCAAAUCUGGCGAUCCAAUCGUCAGACCGCGGGAAAUACUGCUAGGCUAGGGGGCGGAAGAGGCCGACGGUACUCUUAGGGUAGGGGUGAAAUCCUAUAAUCCCGAGAGGACCACCAGUGGCGAAGGCGGUCGGCCAGAACGCGCCCGACGGUGAGGGAUGAAAGCUGGGGGAGCGAACCGGAUUAGAUACCCGGGUAGUCCCAGCUGUAAACGAUGCGAGCUAAGUGUCAGGGUGGCUUUAAAGUCAUUCUGGUGCUGCAGGGAAGCCGAUAAGCUCGCCGCCUGGGAAGUACGGCCGCAAGGCUGAAACUUAAAGGAAUUGGCGGGGGAGCACCACAAGGGGUGAAGCUUGCGGUUCAAUUGGAGUCAACGCCGGGA